rnacentral:misc_RNA from 1 species
UUUCUUUCCUUAUCCUUACUCAUCUCCAUCCACCUACAACACCUCUUACUGGUCACUUCUUAUGUAAUGUUUCUCUUUUUUAUUUUAUUUUUUGACAUGUGACACCACCAUGUAAUUUUCUUAUUGGAAAUUUGACCAAAUUAUGAUGAGAGAUUUUAGCAUAACAUUUUCAAAAUUUAGGGAUUUUGUGGUAACAAAAUGAUGAUGAGAGAUGGAAAUGAAAUACCUCCCAAAGUUGAGGGAUAACUGGUAAAAAUUACUCAUUAUCUUUUCUUUUAUCUUUGAUAGAAUAGAUGAUCACAUUUUUAUAUAUAAACAUCUCUAAAAUUGUCCAAACUAAUUAAGAAUACAAA